CAAGAGGAAAUAUGAAACCUUGGCUUCAGUUUGUUUUGUUUUUUUCAGCAAGUUUUGGAGGUGUCCUGUCUGAGCUCCAACUACUGGAGUCCGGAGGGGAUGCCAGAAGACCUGGAGAGUCCCUCCGCCUCUCCUGUCGAGCCUCAGGGUUCACCUUCAGAAGCUAUCCAUUCAGUUGGAUCCGGCAAGCUCCUGGAAAAGGUUUAGAAUGGGUUGCAUUUAUACAUACCGACUCCAAUCCCAUUUACUACUCAGAAGCAGUGAAAGGGCGCUUCACCAUCUCCAGGGAUGAUUCGAAUAGCCUGGUGAAUUUGCAAAUGAACAACUUGAAACUCGAGGACUCUGCUCUGUAUUAUUGUGCAAGAAGGGACACAUUGAGAGGAAAUCAAUCUAGGCUCAGGCAAAAACCUUCUCCUGCAGUCAUUCAGAAUGCAGUUCCUCCUAGAGAUCACUGA